rnacentral:rRNA from 1 species
UACGUAGGGGGCAAGCGUUGUCCGGAAUCAUUGGGCGUAAAGAGCGUGUAGGCGGCUUGGUAAGUCCGCUGUGAAAGUCCAGGGCUCAACCCUGGAAAGCCGGUGGAAACUGUCAAGCUUGAGUCCGGAAGAGGCGAGUGGAAUCCUGGUGUAGCGGUGAAAUGCGCAGAGUAUCAGGAGGAACACCAAUGGCGAAGGCAGCUCGCUGGGACGG